rnacentral:misc_RNA from 1 species
UACUCAUAACAUUACAACAUAACCUAUAUGAAAAACAUUAUUUUGAUUUUGAUAUGAUUUGUUAAAAAAGAAUUUCUGAAAAGAAUACAAAAGCUAAAAGUUGAUUUAAGUAGUUUGAAUUUUUCUUUUGAUAAAUCAUGCCCUGUUGUGCGGUAAAAAGCUGUAAGAAUCAUCCAAAAUUCUUACCACAAAAUAGCCAAAUUAUUUUUCAUUCGUUCCCCAAAGAGGAUAUCUAUAAAGAAUGGCUCAAAUUAGUCAAUCGGACUGUAGAAAACUGGGAUGGUCCAAAAGGCAAAGUAGUAUGCUCGGAGCAUUUCAAAGAAUCAGAUUACUAUACGUUUUUCGGGAAAAAAUGUCUCCGUCCGAACGCAUUGCCUUCGGUCAAAUUGGAUCCAGUUAUAAAAAUAACUAUGAACUUAACAAGGGGCCCGUUGAGAAGAAUACCAGUUCAAAGAGCUCGAAACAAAAUGAGACAUAAUCCUCUAAUGACACCUUCACUUUUAAAAUCCAGACCUUUAAUAAGGAGACCUAUUUAUAGAAUACUUGCAAGAGCAGAAAAUAUUAUGAACAACAGUAUUAAUAUUAUUAACAGAGAAUUUGGUAUGAAUUUAACAAAAGAGAGUGUUCUAGCGUCUAUAGAUAAAAAUGGAGAAGAUUUAAAACAAGUGAAGAAUAGUGAGCCAGAGGUCAGUAUUGAUUUAACAGAAGACAAUCCGGAGGUAGAGGAACAAGUAGAAACAGUACAACAAAUAGAAUUACCAGUGGAACAAAGUAUUGAUCUAACACAAGAUGAUCCAGUAGUGGAAAAUGUACAACAAACAGUACAACAAAUAAAAUUACGUGUGAAACCAAGGUCCGUUUUACUAGCAUCACCGAAAUCCAAAGCACCCACAGAACCAAUACAAUUUAAUGAAGGAGCGUUAUUGACUAAUGUGCAACAAUCACAAACUGUCAAUUUAAUCCCAAGGUCUGAUUUAUUACCAUCAGUAGAAUCUAUGGCUUCCAGUAACCCACUACAAUUUAAUAAACCAACAACAUUGAAACCUGUAAAACAACCACAAAAACUCAAUUUAGUCCCAAGGUCUGCUUUACUACCAUCAGUAGAGUCUAUGGAUUCCAAUGGCCCACUACAAUUUAAUAAACCAACAACUUUGAAAACUGUAAAACAACCACAAAAUCUAAAUUUAAUCCCAAGGUCUGCUUUAUUACCAUCAGUAGAGUCUAUGGCUUCUAGUAACCCACUACAAUUUAAUAAAUCAACAACAUUGAAACCUGUAAAACGACCACAAAAUCUCAGUUUAGUCCCAAGGUCUAUUUUAAAAUCAGCUGUAUCACCUGUUGCACCCAAGAAACCAACGAAACUAGUUAAUGGAUCAAGUAUAUUGAAAAAUGUUCAGAAACAACAACCACAAACUCUCAAUUUGAUCACAAGUAAUGGUAUAACACAGGAUCGUAUUAUAUUAACACCAAUACAACCAAACAUAGGAGUAUUACAGCCAGAAAAAGUAAAGAUUGAACCAAGGGUUCCACCAUUACACACUAAGGCACAACAUGUAGCGCCUAUAUUACGUAAAGCUAAACGAAAACUGAUAAGGGUUCCUAUACAAAAUAUAGUACCGGGGACACCUAUGGGACCCAUUAUAAUUAACAAUCAACCUGAUAACGAGGCAGUUCCAAGCGUUGAAAAUAUCAUCAGCAUUGGUGAACAGGAGGGACAAAUAAUUUAUAUAAUUCAGGAAAAUCCACCAACAGAAGAAAACUGUAAUGUGGUCGAAAUUCAAGAGCAACCUGUCGAAUGUGUGGAAGUAACGGAAACUGUGUCAUCUAGAGGGCCAUUCCGAUUUGAAUUAGAUGAUGAUGCAAUAAUAACUCUUAAUAAUGAUAUUGAGAAUAAUAUUGCAUCUUAGAUUGAAUUAUAUUUUUAUCAAGAUGUGAAAGCGCUUAGGAAAACAUAGGCAUCCCAAAUCUCAUUCAAAUCUGAAUAACGGUUCUUAAAAUGUCUUAAAAAAUGUGUUUAUUUUUCUAAAGUUUGAUGCCAUCUAUUGGACAAACCAAGCACUUUUGUAUAGAGUAUGCAAUACAAUAGUACAUAUAUACCAAAAUGGGAUUGAAGCAGAAUAAGACACAAUAUGUUACAUAAAGGAAAUCACAUGUUGUUGUUACAGGAGGAUUUAUCAAACAAAUAUGGUUUAGAUAUGUAUUUAUAGAAUCCGAAUCAAUGUAUAAAUGAAGUGUUAAAGAAAUAGCAUUUCACUUCUGAUUCGUAUUAUGAUCUUUGUGUGUUUCAUUUUUUAUUUUUUUGUGACCUUUCUAUUAAUAAGUUUUAAUAAUUUUGUAGUUGUAUAAAAUUUAAAUAAGUUGUAAACAUAUGCCACGCAAAAAUUGAACUUAUUUCCAUUGAAUUUACGCGUCAAAGUACAAAUCUGUACAUAAUAGAGAAAAACGGCAUCACGGUAGCCAUUGAAACGUCAAUCAUUGCUAAUUUCUAUCAAAUCAAUCCCUUUUCUCACCCAUUUUAUAAUUGAUAUAUGUAUAGGGAUUCCCACUCUACACAAUUACCCAUUGAUUGCCAUUUCAAAAACCACUGUGAUGCCUUUUUUGUCAUAGUGUAUAAUAAGUUCUCAAGAAUAAUUUGUUUUAUAAAAUGUAUAAUUGUAUAGAAUAUAUAUCAGAUAUUAUAUUUUUUAUUG